GAGGCUGCUCUGACGGGAACAACAGAGGGACAAAAAGGGCUGCGCCUCACCUGUUGCUUUUGCGGUUGUAAAAGCAGCAAAUAUUUAACCAGACGUUGUGUAUUUAAGAACACUAAAGGGAUGUUGUCGGGGUGUGAGUCAGGCUAAAGAACAAGUCCCAUAAAAGAGCAGUGCCUCCAGCGCCCCCCCCGUGUGCUGCUGCAGCCAGGCCACAGACACACAGCCGGGGCAGGACUGUGGCUGUACUGACCACAAUGUCGUGAGGAGAGCUACCACCAAACCCUCAUUCAAAAACGCCUCCCAAGACUCAAGGCAAAAUGCACAUACCAGACUGUGGUGGUCAUAAUAAAUCAUUCACACACAUCGAUUUUGGAAGGUUCUUCUAUUACCAUGGAAGGUUCCCUAUGAUGACCUUGAACAUGUUUCCACGGUGAUAGCAGGUGAUGACUUCAGACAGGUCAGAUCUGUGGAGAGGCAAAUCAAGAUCUUCAUGGAGACAAGCAAAUGGCAUGCCCCCUCUGGAACACAAUUAACUUGCUUUUUACAGAUGUGCAUGGCUAACUAUUAAAAACAAUGGUAAAGAAUGUUCAAAACUGUAUAAUCAAAAAACUAAGACCCAGGAAUAUUAAAAACUUAUAUCACAUACAUAAGGCAAUUGUGAAUUUUUUAGCAAAAGAUAUCUCUCAUAUUAGUUCAAUUAAAGAUUUUUAGAUGUAACUUUUUUAUUACUAUACACUAUAUGGCCUAUGAUUUUCAUUCGUUCCUACAUGUGAGAAGUUUAAAACUCAACAGACAAAACUGUAAAAACUCACACCUGUAGCACAAUGGUCAGGAGACCACUAGGGGUCAAAAACACCU